GACAUUGGUGAGCUCUCCUGGAUUGAGGGAGAAUUUGACGAGCAGAAUGAAGCACAAGAAUAUGUCGUGCGAUGGAGGGAACGAAAUGGAAAAGUUAAACUUUGUUCGGCCAAAAUAAUGGCAACCGGAGAGGAUAGGAGAGAACUGGUCGAAGUGAGGAAGAAAGCGGAGUUAGGCCUUCUGGAUGUGGCAGUCACACCUACAUCUAAAUGUGGAAAAGGCCAAAGGCGAAAAAUUCCAAAUUCAAAGAACGUGCCAUCUGAGGAUGGAAAUGAUGAGCAUGUGGCCGAGCCGAAGACCAAGUCAAAACGCAAGCAGGCAACAACUGCACUAAGUGCCAGCAAAAGUAU